CUCUCCCACAUGAAGCCCCACACAAGCAGGUGUGAUUCGACUGCAUGUUGGGGAGCCUGUAAUCACGGAAGGUUUAGACCUAAAAAGGCAUGAGUGACUGCUUAGAGCCAAUGGAUGAGUAAAAGGCCAGCAGAAUGCCCAGCACAUAGUAGGCCCUCAAGCAAUGGCCACCAUGAUCAGUACACCCUACAGCAGCCUCUUCUGUUUGUAGUGGAGGAAACUGAGACUGAGAGAGUGUGUGUUUGUAGACACAACUGAAGCGCCUGCACACGUGGCUCACCGAGAAGGAGUCAAUGGCUGACGACUCUGAAGUUUUGGCUUAUUUGGCUUCACUGUGCAUCGAGUACACGAACUUGCUUUCCGUAACAAUUUUGGUGAGCCAGCCCUGGAAUUUGUGCCUGAGGCCUGUUGAUUCUGGCUGGGGACAGCCCCUUGCCUGGGUCCCAGCGGCUGCCGGCAGUGCUCACCUCGCUCCGGGAACCAGGAGGGACUCUUCCUGACAGGCACUGGCCGCUGCAGGCACCGGGCUGUUUGGAGCCAAGAAACGUCUGGAGCUGCGUCCAGAUUCGGCAUC